UUCAGGGUAGCGCAGUGGUUAGCGCAUCUGCCUAAUCAGCGGGAGAACUGGGUUCGAAUCCCAGCCUUGAUA